rnacentral:rRNA from 2 species
CCUACGGGAGGCAGCAGUGGGGAAUAUUGCACAAUGGGCGCAAGCCUGAUGCAGCGACGCCGCGUGAGGGAUGACGGCCUUCGGGUUGUAAACCUCUUUCAGUAGGGAAGAAGCGAAAGUGACGGUACCUGCAGAAGAAGCGCCGGCUAACUACGUGCCAGCAGCCGCGGUAAUACGUAGGGCGCAAGCGUUAUCCGGAAUUAUUGGGCGUAAAGAGCUCGUAGGCGGUUUGUCGCGUCUGCCGUGAAAGUCCGGGGCUCAACUCCGGAUCUGCGGUGGGUACGGGCAGACUAGAGUGAUGUAGGGGAGACUGGAAUUCCUGGUGUAGCGGUGAAAUGCGCAGAUAUCAGGAGGAACACCGAUGGCGAAGGCAGGUCUCUGGGCAUUAACUGACGCUGAGGAGCGAAAGCAUGGGGAGCGAACAGGAUUAGAUACCCUGGUAGUCCAUGCCGUAAACGUUGGGCACUAGGUGUGGGGGACAUUCCACGUUUUCCGCGCCGUAGCUAACGCAUUAAGUGCCCCGCUGGGG